GCGGAGGAGGGGCGCGUGGGCGGGGUCUGACGUCACGAGGACGCGGACGGCCAAUCGGAGAGCACGAUGCCUCCGCGGCGGCCCCCGCCCCCGGGCGCGCGGCCAGUCAGCCCUGCGGUGCGGUGGGCAUUGCCAGAGCAGGGCGCCCCCUGCAGGGACGCACCCGGGGCGGGGGCCAGGCUGGGGCGAGCCCCCCUUGGUUCUGGAGAGGAAAUGACAUACAGUUUGUGAAAGCAUAAAUAUUCGUGAAAAUAAGAAAAUUCAGGAAGGAAACAAAGCUUAAGGCAGUGAUUGAUAGGUUAUUUCUUGGACACAGCUGAACGUAUACUGUGCGCCUGCAACUUUCCGGUGGUUUCGGACCGGACUUCAGUGAAGCCAGUGAAGUCGGUCGACUUGCAGAACUUCCUUUCAGAGGGGCGUACACAGCACCGCGGCCGUGUGCCUGUGAUCUCCUUCUGAGUUUGAAAAAGAAGAUCCUAGACACCGAGCCAAAUAUGUUUGCAUAAACCGGGAGACUUGUGGCUCUAUUUUGUAACAGCUUGGCGCAGGGCAGCUGGUUUGGAGAUGUCUCUGUUCUUCCCUUGGUGGGGGUGCCGGAAAAAAUGUGCUGCCUGGGCGAUCGAGGUUGGGGCAAAAGCGUUGCAAAGGAAAAGGUGGGAGGACUCUACUUUCACAUUUCCCAAAAGAGUUUUACCAUAAGACUAUUUCUGGAUUGUUCUAACGUGAGGAUAUUGGGAGCAUUUUGAAAAUACUGGAGGAAAAGCUGUCACUGGGCGAUUUAAAUCCGGUAAGUUGGCCAAGGCAGAGCAGCUGCUGGGGUCAGCGACAGCUGACCCUUGCAGCUGAGUAUCUUGCCCUCUUAAUCUUGGAGAUCAGCCCAAGGCCCAUGUGUUACAGGAAAGGGGUCCCGAUCUAGACCCCAAGAGAGGGUUCUUCGAUCUCACGCAAGAAACAAUUCAGAGUAAGUCCACAGUGCAAAGUAAAAGCAAGUUUAUUAAGAAAGUAAAGUGGUGGCUGGGCACAGUGGCUCACGCGUAAUCCCAGCACUUUGGGAGGCUGAGACGGACAGAUCACCUGAUGUCAGGAGUUCAAGACCAGCUGGCCAACAUGGCAAAACCCCGUCUCUACUAGAAAUACAAAUAUUGGCCGGGCGUGGUGGCGCAAGCCUGUUGUCUCAGCUACUCACGGGGCUGAGGCAGGAGAAUCGCUUGAACCCGGGAGGCAGAGGCUACAGUGAGCCGAGAUCGCCACUGCACUCCAGCAGGGCAUUCCUGAAAAUAAGAGGAGGGACAUAUCCAACUAAGAAUGCUUGUCAAAUAGAGCACGCAGGGACCCUGAGCAACCAGGACUGUUGGCAUGACAAGCGGGCGAGCAGAGGAUGGGGGAGCCAGAAGAGAAGGUGCUGAAAGGAAGAGCUGAAAACAAGCUUGACCCAUCACUCAAAGUUGUCUAAUAGUCCUUGAAUCCAGAUGCCUCAUGGCCCUAGGAGGGCCAAACACACUCGGGGGUUGGAAAGGAAGCAUCACAGUGCUGGUGUCAGGAUACCUGAGUUCCAGCCUUGUCUUUGACAUUUAUGAGGUGUAUAAACUGGGAGGGUCACUUCAGCUCUCUGAGCCUUAGUUUUGUGUACUGUAAAGUGGGAGAAAUAAUACAUCCCUCACAAAGGCAUAAAUAGGCCAGGUGCGGUGGCUCACGCCUGUAAUCCCAGCACUUUGGGAGGCCAAAGCGGGUGGAUAACCUGAGGUCAGGAGCUCGAGACCAGCCUGGCCAACAUGGUGAAACCCCAUCUCUACUAAAAAUACAAAACCCCCAUCUCUACUAAAAAUACAAAAAUUAUCCAAGUGUGGUGACAGGCACCUGUAAUCCCAGCUACUUGGGAGGCUGACUACUCAGGAGAAUUGCUUGAACCUGGGAGGCGGAGGUUGCAGUGAGCCGAGAUCAUGCCACUGUACUCCAGCCUGGGUGACAGAGUAAGACUCCAUCUCAAAACAAACAAACAAACAAAAACAAGACAAAGGCAUAAACAAUAAACAAGAGAUUGAUUUUUUUGGUAACAGCUUUAUUGCAAUAUAAUUCAAGUACCAUAAAAUUCACCACCCCCGCUUUUUUUCGAAACAGGGUCUCACUCUGCUGUCACCCAGGCUGGAGUGCAGUGGCAUGAUCACUGCUCACUUCAGCCUCGACCUCCUAGGUUCAAGCGAUCCGCCCACCUUUGUCUCCCAAGUAGCUAGGACUAUAGGUGCACACCACCACACCCAGCUAAUUAUAAAAUUUUGUUGUGGAGACGGGCUCUCAUCACGUUGCCCACGCUGAUCACGAACCCCUGAGCUCAAACAAUCUUCCUGCCUCGGCCUUCCAAAGUGCUGGGAUUAUAGACAUGAGCCACCACACUGGGCCAAAAUUCACCCUUUUAAAGUAUGCAGUUCUGUUUUUUAGUGUAUUCACAGAGUUGUGCAACCAUCACCACUAUUUCAUAGUAGAACAUUUUUAUAACUCCUAAUGGAACCAAUACUGUUAUCAAUCACUCUCUAUCCUCCCUCCUGAGAGAUCGACUUUAAACUAUUUGGUGCUGUACCCAUUUUGCUUUGUAUAGAUAACAGUUGAUCAUUGCUACACAAUAGUCAGUAGUCUGCUCAUAAGUAAUAUCACAAUUAUUCUUCAGACUUAGUAAGAGCUGGCUUGAGAACUGUGUCAGGAGUAAGUUCGGCAGGGGAAUGGUAGAGAUGAAGAGGCUUAAAGAACAGUUUGUUUCUCUCUCAUAGAAUAAUCCAGGUAGCUCCAGGUAGCUCACAGCUCCAUCUUCCCUAGGGCACGAGCAACUUUCUCAGGAUACAAAAUGUCAGCUAGAGCUCCAGCUGUUAUAUCCUUGUUCCAGACAGCAGGAUGAAGACAGAGAUGAAGAUUGCAUGCCAUUGGCUUUUAAGGAAAGGUCUCAGAAGUUGCCACAAACACUUCUACUAACUUUUUUUUUUUUUGAGAUGGGGUCUUACCCUGUCACCUAGGCUGGAGUGCAGUGGCACGAUCUUGGCUCACUGUAACCUUCGCCUCCUGGGGUCAAGCAAUUCUCCUGCCUCAACCUCCCGAGUGUCUGGGAUUAUAGGCGCCCGCCACUACACCUGGCUAACUUUUUUUGUAUUUUUAGUACAGAUGGGGUUUCACCACGUUGGCCAGGCUGGUUUCAAACUCCUGACCUCAAAUGAUCCGCCUGCCUAAGCUUCCCAAAGUGUUAGGAUUACAGGCGUGAGCCACCAUGCCCAACCACUUCUACUAACAUCUAAUUGACCAGAACUCACUAGUAUGAUCAUAUCUAGCUGUAAGAAAGGCUGGGAAAUUUAGCCUUAUUCCAAAGAGCCAGUUAAAAAUUGGGGUUUGCAUUAUUAUGAAAGAAAAGACCAGGUAUUUGGUAGAUGUAUCAGUCAGCAAAUGCUAUAAUAAUUCUGCAUAACAAACCAUGAGCAUACAACAAUGAGCUUUUGUUUUCCUUGCCCUCAGGGCUGUGGGUUGGCUGGGAGGCUCUGCAUCAGGCUACAGGGCUGCCGGGCUUGGUGGAGGUAUACUGCACUCACACUAAUGGAGGGCACUGCAAAAUCACAUAACAAAGGGUAUGAGUGUAAAAUUCUAACACCAGAAGCGUCUGCAGAAUGAUAAACAAUGAUUCAUUUAUACAGAGGACAACCAAGAUUGCCAGGAAAUUCAAUGUCUGCAGUCUUGGUCCCCGGAGACCUCCCAGGAACCUGCUGCUGCUGCUGUCCUACAAUUCAGCUCCCAGUGUAGCUUCCAGUUCUGAUGAUCCCACUUCCCCGGUUACAGAUUAAGCUAGUCCAGCCUCUCACAUGAGCUUUUUAGGCCACAGUCCCUAGUUUCAGCCUAACCAGACACCUGCAGCCUUUUCUCUAAGGUUUUGCCAAGACAAACAGAGUAGUUCAGGAUGCCUCUAAGGGAGAAGGAAAGUGGGAAAAAUCAUUUGGGAAAAAUUCAGAGUGCAGAAGCAGCCUGCCUGAAAAGUUGCUGGAACAGACAAAAAUAAAACAACCUGGGGAAAAUAAAACAAAACAAAACUCAGGCUGGACCUGGACAGAUAAACAAACAGGAUCCCGCACAGGAGUUCUUUAUUCUUUGUCUAAUUAGCAAGCUCCCAGGAAAAAAUUUUCUCCCUUUUUCAGUCAGAUACAUGGUGAGAACUUGCACACGGAGGAGGGGGGAUUACCUAAAACAAACUCACAGUAUACAAACAAGAGAAGCUGUGCUUUGUGCUUACCUAAAAACAUACCCACAGCUGCAUGAGAUAAGGGGCGUCGCACAGACAGCCUUACUGAUAAGAGAAGUUACUCAAACUGCUACAGAGAUGAGAGGGGUUUCUCAGCUGUAACCUGGCAAUCCACUCUGACUCCUCUCUCUGCUGCAGAGAGCUUUAUUUCUUUCACUUAUUAAACUUUCCCUCCAACACCAUGUUUGUGUCUGCGUUCCUAAUUUUCUUGGACAUAGGACAAAGGACCUGGGGUACCAGUUAAGACAAAGAGAAACUGCUACAUUAAGGUGGGUUGGUGAGACUGCAACACCUCUAUGUAGGGCCAGAAGCCAUUUUCCUCUGCCCCACUUCCCCGGGGGCCAGCCAGAGUCAGACCCAUUUUUCCCGUUCAAAUUCCCCAAACACAAAAGCUUCAUCAUGCCAUUUUCUAUUACAAUUGGGCUUGAAGGUACAUCUACAAGAGAGUGAAAGCCCAGGCAACUUGUCCCUUGAGUUACAAAGAAUUCCGUUUAUCUUUCCUGGGGUAAGACUAAGUCUACAGCAGUAAAAAUUCAGCACUCAGAUUGGUUUUCAAAGGCUGACCUUUCCAUUAUUUACAUUCUUAAUGAAUCAUCCUGCUUAAUUGUAAUCAGUGGAGCUUAAGGCAAAUUUCCAAAAGGUUUGGUCAAACUUUUGGUGUAAAUAAUCUCAGUGUAUCUAUUUCAACUUUACUUAGUCCGCUUCCAUUAGUAACAUGAAGAAGCAUUUUCUUGGGUACAACCCAAAGUUAGCACCAAUUAUGAAAUCUAUUGGUUAGUUCAGCAAAUUAAACAGUUACUUUUGUUGUUGUUUUUUGAGACAGGGUUUUGUUCUGUAGCCCAGGCUAGAGAGCAGUGGUGCCAUCUCAGCUCACUGCAACCUCUGCCUCCUGAGCUCAAGUGAUCUUCCCACCUCAGCCUUCCUAGUAGCAGGGACCAUAGGCACCUGCCACCAUGCCCCGCUAAUUUUUUUUUUUAUUUAUUUUUUGUAGAGAUGGGGUUUCUCCAUGUUGCCCAGGCUGGUCUCAAACUCCUGGCCUCAAGUGAUUCACCCGCUUCAGCCUCCUAAAGUGUUGGGAUUACAAGCAUAAGCCACUGCACCCAGCCAAAAUGGUUACUUUCAGUAACAGCUGUG
rnacentral:lncRNA from 1 species